UUUUAGAAAUUUUACUAGGGUACUACAUACGAAGCAAAAUGAAUGAAUCUACGCUCUAAAAUAUAUAUGUUUAUAUACAUCUGCAUGUAGUCCCUUAGUGAGACUUUUAAAAAGACUUCUGUUUAAAAACGGAGAGAGUAGCAUGCAUUCAUGAGAUACAAAAACUAAACAAGCUCAGAAUCACAUUACAAGUUACAACCACAACCAGAACUAUCUCAAAAGAUAUGAGCAUGAUCAUCCUAUUCCUAAGCCACCUCCAGGAAGAUGAUGAAGGUUCCACUAACCAUCAUCACCCCAAAAUCACCAUCGUAAGCAGAGUUCCAUUUUCAUGCAUAAUAUAUAAGAGCUAGCGAAUGGGGACGCGCGGCCUUCAGUUCCUGCUGACCUGCAAGCUAGUCCUUGCGGUGUGCCGGCGCCGGCGCCAGAGCAGCGCCGCCAUGCCCGUACGGCGGGUAGCUCACGCCGUAACCGGCAUUAUGCCACGGGGACGGUGGGCCAAAUCCUUGACGGUUUCCCGCCCCUUCUUGCUCUCCCCCGCCAGACUCGUGACCAACUGCAUGCACCGAUCGAUGGCAUCAGUCCGAAUGAUAUACCAGAACAAACAGCGCUACGUACGUAGUAUAAGAAAUUAAGAACUACUCGUAGUAGAGGAAGGAGACGCGGUGGUUACGUACGUUUGUCGUUGGCAUAGCAUGGGCAUGGCAGCAUCAGGGAGCAGCAGCAUACGAUCACCACGAGGAUUGCCACGGCGCGUGCGAGGAGCGAGGACGUCGACGAAGAAGAAGACCGCUUCAUGGCCGACGAUCCUGCGUGCCCAGCAGCGAGCUUCUCAAGAAAUGACUCGGUCUCUCUUUCUGGCUGGGUUGCUCCUAGUAAGUAC
rnacentral:lncRNA from 1 species